GUCGAAGGGGGUUAGCGUUUUUCGGCAUUACUGGGCGUAAAUCGCAUGUAGGCGGAUUGUUAAGUCAGGGGUGAAAGCCCGAGGCUCAAACUCGGAAUUGCCUUUGAUACUGGCAACCUUGAGUGCGGGAGACGUGAGUGGAAUUCCCAGUGUAGAGGUGAAAUUCGUAGAUAUUGGGAAGAACACUAGUGGCGAAGGCGGCUCACUGGCCAGUAACUGACGCUGAGAUGCGAAAGCGUGGGGAGCAAACAGG
rnacentral:rRNA from 1 species